UUACCUGUUUUAUUAUUGGAAGAAACGACGUUCAAAUUUUAAGUUUAAAGUUGUUUACUAUGUUUGUGAAUGAAGAUGGUUAAAUUUAAUGGUUAUUUGAAUGUUGUUAAUUGGUUUACAAAUAAUGGUUAUAUUGCACAGCAGUAGCCACAGUAUAUAACAAGGCUAAUAUUAUAUAUAGUAGGUAUACACUCUAUACCUACUAUAUAUAAUAUUAGCCCUGUUAUUAUAUACAGUAGGUAUAGUAGGAACAGACAGAGACGUGAGCAAAACUUCCUACAAAAAGGAAUAUCAAUAUUCUUUAGAAACUUCUUUUACUGGUGGUAGGUCUCUCUUAUGUGGGUGUCGGCCUGGAUCAGCAUGCUCCAAGCUUGUGUUUCGAUUAGACACUGUGCCAGCAAGCAUCAUCGUGCUAUUACUGUUAUAUUUCGGUGUGAAGUACACUGUAACCUAAUUCUUGGACUUCAGGAGAACUUAACUGUCCCGCGAUGAUAAGCGCAUUUCAGAAUCAUCUUGUAUUUCUAUCAUAGAAAUGGGCACAUACGAACAUGAGCUCAAUUAGACUGCAUAUUAAAAAUUAACAGCCGAUGACAUAGUCGGUUCUAGACCGUUCAAUCGACUUCUAAAUUCUACAAUUGUAUAUUCAGUAAGUCGGAAGUUGCAUUGUGAAUGAUAUGGAGUCGCAGUCACAAUAGAGGUUGGAUAAGAAUUGAUACCACAGACGUACAGGAGAGAUGGCCGUGUGAGUGCUGAGAUCUCAAGCCUUAUAGGCGACGGAAAGCCCCAUACAUAUCUCACCGUUUAUGGAUAUCGGCAACCAUAUUCUCGAAGGCAAAAUAAAUAAUAAGAUGUUUUAAUUUUAUUUCUAAUUAUUACACAUACGGGCUGGGAAAAUGGAGUAAAAAAGUCACCGAAUGAUAUCCAAGAGAAAAGAGUAAUCUAGGAAGACAACACACAAGGUGGGAUAACGAGCUUAAACUAACAGCUGAGCCAAAAUGGAGAAGGGUUGCCCAAGAUAGACAACUUUGGAAAUCAUUGGAGGAGGCCUCUGCCAAUAAGCACGCCAAAUUAAGAGGAAUCAAGCUUGGUAAACUGCUGCUCUCCAGAAUUUUCUGCGGAGAAUUUUUGAGUUGGUUGGCCAUGUGCAAACUCAGUGAUAAAGAGAAACUAAUAAUUAAUGAGAAAAUGGUUGGCAAAAGACCGGGAAGCGGGAACUGAUCACAUCUGCACCACACUCUAUACAAUGUCAAUAAAGCAGUGGAUUUUCUUAAAAUAAUUUCGAAGCUCACAGAAUUGAUGGCAGAUGGGGCAAGAAGAUUCUGGAGUGGAGGUUACGAACUGGCAAGCGCAGCGUCGGACGUCUACCUGCGAGAUGGACAGAUGACGUCAUAAAAUUCUCCAGGACGUGGAUCCGCUGGAUGCGGGCUGCAUCCAAAAGGUCGAUCUAGAAAUCUAUGUGGGUGGCCCAUGUUUAGCAAA